rnacentral:rRNA from 1 species
UACAGGGGGGGCAAGCGUUGUUCGGAAUUACUGGGCGUAAAGGGCUCGUAGGUGGCCAACUAAGUCAGACGUGAAAUCCCUCAGCUUAACUGGGGAACUGCGUCUGAUACUGGAUGGCUUGAGUUUGGGAGAGGGAUGCGGAAUUCCAGGUGUAGCGGUGAAAUGCGUAGAGAUCAGGAGGAACACCCGUGGCGAAGGCGGCCCCCUGGGUCGGCCCUGACGCUGAGGCGCGAAAGCGUGGGGAGCGAACGGG